GACGAACGCUGGCGGCGUGCUUAACACAUGCAAGUCGAACGCUGAAGACCUGGCUUUUGUUGGGUUGGAUGAGUGGCGAACGGGUGAGUAACACGUGAGUAACCUGCCCUCUUCUUUGGGAUAACGCCCGGAAACGGGUGCUAAUACUGGAUAUUCACUGGCCUUCGCAUGGGGGUUGGUGGAAAGGUUUGUUCUGGUGGGGGAUGGGCUCGCGGCCUAUCAGCUUGUUGGUGGGGUGAUGGCCUACCAAGGCUUUGACGGGUAGCCGGCCUGAGAGGGUGACCGGUAACAUUGGGACUGAGAUACGGCCCAGACCCCUACGGGAGGCAGCAGUGGGGAAUAUUGCACAAUGGGCGAAAGCCUGAUGCAGCGACGCCGCGUGAGGGAUGGAGGCCUUCGGGUUGUAAACCUCUUUCGCUCAUGGUCAAGCCGCAACUGUGGGUUGUGGUGAGGGUAGUGGGUAAAGAAGCGCCGGCUAACUACGUG
rnacentral:rRNA from 1 species